ACCUUGCAUGGGAAUAAGGGGGGGGUGAGGGGGGAUGCCCCUCGGCCCCUCCCAUUCUCAAAAAGUGUGAUAAUGAGAAAUCGAAAAAUGUUAGAGUAGAAUAUAGUGUUGUGUUGACUGUAUCGACUAACCAAGAGGAAGUAUGGUCGCCAUCCAGAGGUGGGGGAGAAGUCGAUGUUGGAAAGGAGCCAAGUGUUGUAACCAGUCGCCCUGUGCAGCAUGUGCUAAAAGGAGUUGUUGCAGUCCAGAAGACGUGAUUGGUGUGUGAUAAUCCAGAGGGACAUUAACGCUCGACUGAAUGUUGGAAAUGAGAGGCAGUAAAGGUGUUUGAGGAUGGAGUGGUGGUGGGUAGUGCCGUAACCAGGUUGGAGAAAGGGUGGACUACUAUAUGUAUGGGGCUGUGCAAUGGACUGUGUU
rnacentral:lncRNA from 1 species